GGAAGAUCAUCUGCUUCCAGACCACAGUUGACCAAGAGUAAUUAAAACAUGGAAAGCAAAAGAGCAGAGAAGAGUUUUUAGUUUUUAUUUCAUAUAUUUUGCAGCUAUAUUGUUUGAUACACACAUUUAAGGUUGAUGAUGUCUUCUUGAGGAUUGACCUCUUGUAUCAUCAUAUGGUAAUGAUAAGUUUCAUUGGUAACAUGGUAAUUUCUCAGGUAAUUUUCUUUGCUCUGUAGUCUAAUUUAGCUGAUGUUAAUAUAACCAUGCUUGCUUUUUGUUAUUAAUGUUUACAUGACAUAUCUUUUUUCCAUCCUGUAGUGAGUUGAAUGGUGUUCCCCAAAAUGAUAUACCCAUGACCUAAAAGCUGAAUGUGACCAUAUUUGGAAAAAGAGUCUUUGCAGACGUAAUGAAGUUAAGGGUAUUGAGAUGAGGUCAUCCUAAAUUUUGUGGAUGUACCCUAAAUCAAAUGACAAGUGUCUUUAUAUCAGACAGAAGAGAAAAAGGAGAAGGACAUGUGAAGACAGAGAUUAGAGGGGAAUCAGGAUGGAGAAGGCAGGAUGGAGGGACCAAAGGCCAGAAGCCCUAGCCUGAGAAGACACAGGGACUGGAAUGGAGUUAUGGUUACUCGUGACUUGGAGCACAGCCUUCAUGGGGAUUGAAGUUAGUUCAAAGGUAUCACUGUGAACUACAUAAAGAAAAGAGAGAGAGCAAGAUGGAGUAAGGAUCCUGAGAUGGAGGGUAGCAAACCACUGGUUUGGGUCUGGCACAAUGCCUAACGUGUAUUAGGAGUGCAGCAAAUUUGAGGUGAAUAAA